CGAGGUAGAUAGGCUGGGGGUGGAAGUGCAGCAAUGCAUGGAGCUGACCAGUACUAAUCGGUCGAGGGCUUAUCCAAAUA
rnacentral:rRNA from 2 species